UGAGUAUUACAUCAGGUACUG
rnacentral:ncRNA from 6 species